rnacentral:rRNA from 1 species
UGACAGUACUCCUACGGGGAGGCAGCAGUAAGGAAUAUUGGUCAAUGGAGGGAACUCUGAACCAGCCAUGCCGCGUGCAGGAAGACAGCCCUCUGGGUCGUAAACUGCUUUUAUUCGGGGAAUAAACCUUUCUACGUGUAGGAAGCUGAAUGUACCGAAGGAAUAAGGAUCGGCUAACUCCGUGCCAGCAGCCGCGGUAAUACGGAGGAUCCAAGCGUUAUCCGGAUUUAUUGGGUUUAAAGGGUGCGUAGGCGGCUUAUUAAGUCAGGGGUGAAAGACGGUGGCUCAACCAUCGCAGUGCCCUUGAUACUGAUGAGCUUGAAUACACUAGAGGUAGGCGGAAUGUGACAAGUAGCGGUGAAAUGCAUAGAUAUGUCACAGAACACCGAUUGCGAAGGCAGCUUACUAUGGUGUUAUUGACGCUGAGGCACGAAAGCGUGGGGAUCAAACAGGAUUAGAUACCCUGGUAG